UGCAAGUCGAGCGAACUGAUUAGAAGCUUGCUUCUAUGACGUUAGCGGCGGACGGGUGAGUAACACGUGGGCAACCUGCCUGUAAGACUGGGAUAACUUCGGGAAACCGAAGCUAAUACCGGAUAGGAUCUUCUCCUUCAUGGGAGAUGAUUGAAAGAUGGUUUCGGCUAUCACUUACAGAUGGGCCCGCGGUGCAUUAGCUAGUUGGUGAGGUAACGGCUCACCAAGGCAACGAUGCAUAGCCGACCUGAGAGGGUGAUCGGCCACACUGGGACUGAGACACGGCCCAGACUCCUACGGGAGGCAGCAGUAGGGAAUCUUCCGCAAUGGACGAAAGUCUGACGGAGCAACGCCGCGUGAGUGAUGAAGGCUUUCGGGUCGUAAAACUCUGUUGUUAGGGAAGAACAAGUACAAGAGUAACUGCUUGUACCUUGACGGUACCUAACCAGAAAGCCACGGCUAACUACGUGCCAGCAGCCGCGGUAAUACGUAGGUGGCAAGCGUUAUCCGGAAUUAUUGGGCGUAAAGCGCGCGCAGGCGGUUUCUUAAGUCUGAUGUGAAAGCCCACGGCUCAACCGUGGAGGGUCAUUGGAAACUGGGGAACUUGAGUGCAGAAGAGAAAAGCGGAAUUCCACGUGUAGCGGUGAAAUGCGUAGAGAUGUGGAGGAACACCAGUGGCGAAGGCGGCUUUUUGGUCUGUAACUGACGCUGAGGCGCGAAAGCGUGGGGGAGCAAACAGGAUUAGAUACCCUGGUAGUCCACGCCGUAACGAUGAGUGCUAAGUGUUAGAGGGUUUCCGCCCUUUAGUGCUGCAGCUAACGCAUUAAGCACUCCGCCUGGGGAGUACGGUCGCAAGACUGAAACUCAAGGAAUUGACGGGGGCCCGCACA
rnacentral:rRNA from 1 species